CAUGCAAGUCGAGGGGUAACAGGAGUAGCUUGCUACUUGCUGACGACCGGCGCACGGGUGCGUAACGCGUAUACAAUCUACCUUUUGCUGAGGGAUAGCCCAGAGAAAUUUGGAUUAACACCUCAUGGUAUGUAGUGAUGGCAUCAUCAUUAUAUUAAAGGUUACGGCAAAAGAUGAGUAUGCGUUCUAUUAGCUAGAUGGUGUGGUAACGGCACACCAUGGCAACGAUAGAUAGGGGCCCUGAGAGGGGGAUCCCCCACACUGGUACUGAGACACGGACCAGACUCCUACGGGAGGCAGCAGUGAGGAAUAUUGGGCAAUGGAGGCAACUCUGACCCAGCCAUGCCGCGUGCAGGAAGACUGCCCUAUGGGUUGUAAACUGCUUUUAUACAGGAAGAAACAGCUCUUCGUGAAAGAGCCUUGACGGUACUGUAAGAAUAAGGAUCGGCUAACUCCGUGCCAGCAGCCGCGGUAAUACGGAGGAUCCAAGCGUUAUCCGGAAUCAUUGGGUUUAAAGGGUCCGUAGGUGGAUAAUUAAGUCAGAGGUGAAAUCCUGCAGCUCAACUGUAGAAUUGCCUUUGAAACUGGUUAUCUUGAGUCAUUAUGAAGUGGUUAGAAUGUGUAGUGUAGCGGUGAAAUGCAUAGAUAUUACACAGAAUACCGAUUGCGAAGGCAGAUCACUAAUAAUGUACUGACACUGAUGGACGAAAGCGUGGGUAGCGAACAGGAUUAGAUACCCUGGUAGUCCACGCCGUAAACGAUGGUCACUAGCUGUUUGGACUUCGGUCUGAGUGGCUAAGCGAAAGUGAUAAGUGACCCACCUGGGGAGUACGUUCGCAAGAA
rnacentral:rRNA from 1 species